UAUACAGUUCAGUUCUUCUAAGUUGUGAACGGUCAUGGAAAUUGUGAUGUGGGUCUUUUGAAAAGUCAGAGGAAGGUUUCUCUAUGAUAAUGUGUGAGAACCCUGAGUGUAAGAAAAAAAAUCUGUUACAUAAAGGGAAUUUCUGUGCAUUUCUUUCUGACUUUUUCCCUUUUGAAUUACUAGACUCUUUCACCUCUUCAGGCUUCUAAAAACCCCUCUUCAGUCGAACUGCUGACAUUUCAUGUUUACACUGAGGCCAUAGCCUUGGACGAGGGGUCCCAAGUAGACAUUGCUUCAUUUUAAGGGCUCACAGGCCAGAAAAGUUUGGGAACCACUGCGUUAGACUGACCUGCCAUCUACUCAGAAGUCUGCUUUUACUCAACUGAUAGCAGGAACGACACACAAACCUCAGGAAAUGUAAAUAAGUGUCUACCCUAUAAAAUAUUAAAACAUGAAAACAGCAGAGUCAAUGCGUUUCUCUGCGAAU